GGGGAAUAUUGGACAAUGGGCGAAAGCCUGAUCCAGCCAUGCCGCGUGUGUGAAGAAGGUCUUCGGAUUGUAAAGCACUUUAAGUUGGGAGGAAGGGCAGUUACCUAAUACGUGAUUGUUUUGACGUUACCGACAGAAUAAGCACCGGCUAACUCUGUGCCAGCAGCCGCGGUAAUACAGAGGGUGCAAGCGUUAAUCGGAAUUACUGGGCGUAAAGCGCGCGUAGGUGGUUAGUUAAGUUGGAUGUGAAAUCCCCGGGCUCAACCUGGGAACUGCAUUCAAAACUGACUGACUAGAGUAUGGUAGAGGAAAGUGGAAUUCCAAGUGUAGCGGUGAAAUGCGUAGAGAUUUGGAGGAACACCAGUGGCGAAGGCGACUUUCUGGUCUGCAACUGACGCUGAGGCGCGAAAGCAUGGGGAGCAAACA
rnacentral:rRNA from 1 species